CAGUCGCCACGGGAAUACGUAGGGUGCAAGCGUUAAUCGGAAUUACUGGGCGUAAAGCGUGCGCAGGCGGUUAUAUAAGACAGAUGUGAAAUCCCCGGGCUCAACCUGGGAACUGCAUUUGUGACUGUAUAGCUAGAGUACGGCAGAGGGGGAUGGAAUUCCGCGUGUAGCAGUGAAAUGCGUAGAUAUGCGGAGGAACACCGAUGGCGAAGGCAAUCCCCUGGGCCUGUACUGACGCUCAUGCACGAAAGCGUGGGGAGCAAACAGGAUUAGAUACCCCCGUAGUCCCUGUCUCUUUACA
rnacentral:rRNA from 1 species